CUGUGGAGAUCCGCGGAGGCCGACAGGAUUCGUUGGCUGCCGUCCCCGCUGCUGUGCAUUGGGGAUGGAGGUUAGGGAAUGGAGAUUUCCUCUAAUGAUUCAAGGCUGUGCACGUUGCUCCUUAGGAACUCAAAUUGAGGUUAAAAACGACAACCAACAUCAGCCAUGAAAGAUCCAAGUCGCAGCAGUACUAGCCCAAGCAUCAUCAAUGAAGAUGUGAUUAUUAACGGUCAUUCUCAUGAAGAUGACAAUCCAUUUGCAGAGUACAUGUGGAUGGAAAAUGAAGAAGAAUUCAACAGACAAGUUAGUUUUUUGUACAAACAUGUUUUUAUAGUCCAUUCUGGCCCUCAAUAUGAUUGUACUUGUCCCUGAAAUGUGUUUAUCUUGUCCUUUAUGUAUAAAGUAUGUAGACUGAUGUGCCAC
rnacentral:sRNA from 1 species